AUUGAACGCUGGCGGCAUGCUUUACACAUGCAGGUCGAACGGUAACAGGGUGCUUGCACCGCCGACGAGUGGCGAACGGGUGAGUAAUGCGUCGGAACGUGCCGAGUAGUGGGGGAUAACGCAGCGAAAGUUGUGCUAAUACCGCAUACGUACUGAGGUAGAAAGUGGGGGACCUUCGGGCCUCACGCUAUUCGAGCGGCCGACGUCUGAUUAGCUAGUAGGUGAGGUAAAGGCUCACCUAGGCGACGAUCAGUAGCGGGUCUGAGAGGAUGAUCCGCCACACUGGGACUGAGACACGGCCCAGACUCCUACGGGAGGCAGCAGUGGGGAAUUUUGGACAAUGGGCGAAAGCCUGAUCCAGCCAUGCCGCGUGUCUGAAGAAGGCCUUCGGGUUGUAAAGGACUUUUGUCAGGGAGGAAAUCCCUAGCGUUAAUACCGCUGGGGGAUGACAGUACCUGAAGAAUAAGCACCGGCUAACUACGUGCCAGCAGCCGCCGUAACAC
rnacentral:rRNA from 1 species